rnacentral:rRNA from 1 species
UCAAUUUCAAUAUUGCUAGACGCAAUUUGUCCAUUUAAGAAGCUAGUGUCUUAUUAGGACAAACACAUUGGUACGACUCCAACCUAUGGUGCAUUCAAAUUAAUGAAGACCAAAUGUUUUCAACGUCAUAAACCAAUAUGCAUCUAUUUAAUAUAUUUGAGUCUCGUUCGUUAU